GGUUUUGCCUGAAGGUGAUCAGUCAGUGCAGAGGCAAGAAAAGUCAAAGCUCACACUCUAAGUUAAGGGAGAUGCAAAUCCUUCCUGGAUGACUUGGUCGUGUGAGGCAGGAAUAUAACAUAAAAAAAAAUUCUAAGUGAUUAGAGGCACAGCCUUUGGUGUGCAGUGACCUCUCAGUUGUCCUGCUCUACUUUUCCGUUUUUAAAGAUUCUGCUCCAGUAAUGACGUUGUUACUACCUGGAAUAAUUCGGGUUGCCUUACAGAGCUCACAGCUUUACCUUCUUUUGUGUGCCAUUUUUUCGCAAAUCAUCUUUAUGAAUUAUUGAAUUAUUUUUUUGUUUUUUUGGACUUUUGCUUUAUUUAAUUUUGGCAGCAUUUACACUUAUUUAACCCCCUUUUUUUUUUUUUUUUGGCUUAUGAUCUCAAUCCUGGAUUCGGCAUCGUUUUUACCUACAGUAUGAGGCACUUACUUGUUUUCUCUUCUUUUUGGAGACUUUCUGAUGCCUUAUGCAAACAGUGUGGUAAGGAAAUAAUUAGUGUUGAAGUUGUAAAUACUAUCUCUUUUUUAAGCAUAACAGCACUGUCCUUAACUGGCAGUGUAGACGAACGGUAGGUAUUUGUUAGUUUUAAUGCAGUGUGACACACCAACACAAACACACACACACACACGUACUCAGAGGGCACGCUGACGGUCGUACUCCUAUUUUGGGCUGUACAGGUUUUCUUUACUCUUCUUCACGUAGAGACAACCUCCUACUCAACUCCCUCCUUGGUGGGCUGGAGCCGGAGUCUUUCUUGGAUCCAGCAGGAGGCAGUCAUUAUCUCUUCUGUCAGACCACGCUAUGCAGAGCCCACUGGACUCAUCAAAGAAGCCCUUGCCAUGUGGCAGAUUCCCCACUCCAAGUGUUCAGAGACUGUGAUGAUGAUGAUGGUGAUGGUGGUGGUGGUGGUGGUGGCGGCCAUAGUGAUGAUGCCUCUGGUUUACACUGUAGUGCAACCCAUAUCAAAUGUCAGUGAGUGAGGAGUAUUUAUGAUUGUGAAUAAUAAGGGAAAAGCUAGCAACACCACAAAGAAGCUGCUGUCUUGUCCAUUGUUUUUUUUUUCUUUUUUUUUUUUUCUUUUUAAUUUGCUUCUUUUUGUUCAAUUGGCCUCCUUUGAAGGGCCGUUCCCUUGGUGUGUAAACAGAGUUUUACGCUGGUCACAAUGAGAAUGGAACACUUGCUCUACCUCUUACUCCUUCACUCUCUUUGACACCUUUUACUGAGUGGGACUGACAAACUUGAAGUAUGGAAAGACAAAAAAUAAAGGCUUUAUUGUUCUGUACAUGCAUUUUCAGCAUUUGUUUCGUGACUCCCAGGGAAAAACUUUUAUCAAAAUCUCCCUCGCAAUAUUUAAUAGCAUCGUACAACUUUUGAAGGUUUGUCACAUGCGUGUUGGAGUGUGACUGAGGUCUUGUUAUCCCAAACCAGCUUGGCCGAAUCUGUCUUUUUGUGGGGUUAAACCAUAGAGAUGUUUGUGUAAAAUUCUCUGUGGAGCACUAUUGUUUAAAAUACUAAUGUCAGUCUGUAAACACUAAUCACGUAACAGCACCAGAUAUGUAAGUGAUGAGUGUUUCCAAAGAACCAGUAGGUGGCAGUAAUGGAAAUUAAAUAGAGCUACAGUGCUGCUGUUAAAAAACCUAAAGCAAAAGAAGCAAUCAAGAAGGUGUGUUUGCUGGAUUAGCUUAUCCUAGCUAUAUCUCAGAGAAAACAGACUAUUAUUAACAGGAUCAGAUUCAACUUUGAUGUUUUCCCACGUGUGUCAUGAAAAGGUGCUUCACAACUUCAUCCACAGCCUGACAGGAAGAGAAGCUUCGUGGUUUGAAGAAAAACAAAAAUAAGGAAAAAGAGAGAAAUGAACCGACACCAAAUCCAGUGAACACUGAUGUAAAUGCAUGUCAGGCUCAGGGAAUGGAAAAAGCCUGAAUCCCAUCCAACAUAUUGUACUUGCUGGAUUCUGCCAUUCCUCCCCCGAGUGUCAUGAGACACUCAGCUGUCAAACAUCAAGCCAAAAUGAGUGUCAGAAGGUAGGUGUG